AUUGAACGCUGGCGGCAGGCCUAACACAUGCAAGUCGAGCGAGCGGCGGACGGGUGAGUAAUGUCUGGGAAACUGCCUGAUGGAGGGGGAUAACUACUGGAAACGGUAGCUAAUACCGCAUACCAUCAGAUGUGCCCAGAUGGGAUUAGCUCGUAGGUGGGGUAACGGCUCACCUAGGCGACGAUCCCUAGCUGGUCUGAGAGGAUGACCAGCCACACUGGAACGGAGACACGGUCUAGACUCCUACGGGAGGCAGCAGUGGGGAAUCUUGCACAAUGGGCGCAACCCUGACGCAGCCAUGACGCGUGAAUGAAGAAGGCCUUCGGGUUGUAAAGUUCUUUCGGUAUUGAGGCGUUAAAUACAGAAGAAGCACCGGCUAACUCCGUGCCAGCAGCCGCGGUAAUAC
rnacentral:rRNA from 1 species